rnacentral:rRNA from 5 species
UUAAGCGACUAAGCGUACACGGUGGAUGCCCUGGCAGUCAGAGGCGAUGAAGGACGUGCUAAUCUGCGAAAAGCGUCGGUAAGGUGAUAUGAACCGUUAUAACCGGCGAUGUCCGAAUGGGGAAACCCAGUGUGAUUCGUCACACUAUCGUUAACUGAAUACAUAGGUUAACGAGGCGAACCGGGGGAACUGAAACAUCUAAGUACCCCGAGGAAAAGAAAUCAACCGAGAUUCCCCCAGUAGCGGCGAGCGAACGGGGAGCAGCCCAGAGUCUGAAUCAGCUUGUGUGUUAGUGGAACGGUCUGGAAAGUCCGACGGUACAGGGUGAUAGUCCCGUACACCAAAAUGCACAGGCUGUGAACUCGAAGAGUAGGGCGGGACACGUGGUAUCCUGUCUGAAUAUGGGGGGACCAUCCUCCAAGGCUAAAUACUCCUGACUGACCGAUAGUGAACCAGUACCGUGAGGGAAAGGCGAAAAGAACCCCGGCGAGGGGAGUGAAAAAGAACCUGAAACCGUGUACGUACAAGCAGUGGGAGCACCUUCGGGUGUGACUGCGUACCUUUUGUAUAAUGGGUCAGCGACUUAUAUUCUGUAGCAAGGUUAACCGUAUAGGGGAGCCGCAGGGAAACCGAGUCUUAACUGGGCGUUAAGUUGCAGGGUAUAGACCCGAAACCCGGUGAUCUAGCCAUGGGCAGGUUGAAGGUUGGGUAACACUAACUGGAGGACCGAACCGACUAAUGUUGAAAAAUUAGCGGAUGACUUGUGGCUGGGGGUGAAAGGCCAAUCAAACCGGGAGAUAGCUGGUUCUCCCCGAAAGCUAUUUAGGUAGCGCCUCGUGAACUCAUCUUCGGGGGUAGAGCACUGUUUCGGCUAGGGGGUCAUCCCGACUUACCAACCCGAUGCAAACUACGAAUACCGAAGAAUGUUAUCACGGGAGACACACGGCGGGUGCUAACGUCCGUCGUGAAGAGGGAAACAACCCAGACCGCCAGCUAAGGUCCCAAAGUCAUGGUUAAGUGGGAAACGAUGUGGGAAGGCACAGACAGCCAGGAUGUUGGCUUAGAAGCAGCCAUCAUUUAAAGAAAGCGUAAUAGCUCACUGGUCGAGUCGGCCUGCGCGGAAGAUGUAACGGGGCUAAACCAUGCACCGAAGCUGCGGCAGCGACACUAUGUGUUGUUGGGUAGGGGAGCGUUCUGUAAGCCUGCGAAGGUGUGCUGUGAGGCAUGCUGGAGGUAUCAGAAGUGCGAAUGCUGACAUAAGUAACGAUAAAGCGGGUGAAAAGCCCGCUCGCCGGAAGACCAAGGGUUCCUGUCCAACGUUAAUCGGGGCAGGGUGAGUCGACCCCUAAGGCGAGGCCGAAAGGCGUAGUCGAUGGGAAACAGGUUAAUAUUCCUGUACUUGGUGUUACUGCGAAGGGGGGACGGAGAAGGCUAUGUUAGCCGGGCGACGGUUGUCCCGGUUUAAGCAUGUAGGCUGGUUAUCCAGGCAAAUCCGGAUAAUCAAGGCUGAGGUGUGAUGACGAGGCACUACGGUGCUGAAGUAACAAAUGCCCUGCUUCCAGGAAAAGCCUCUAAGCAUCAGGUAACAUCAAAUCGUACCCCAAACCGACACAGGUGGUCAGGUAGAGAAUACCAAGGCGCUUGAGAGAACUCGGGUGAAGGAACUAGGCAAAAUGGUGCCGUAACUUCGGGAGAAGGCACGCUGGUGUGUAGGUGAAGUCCCUGCGGAUGGAGCUGAGACCAGUCGAAGAUACCAGCUGGCUGCAACUGUUUAUUAAAAACACAGCACUGUGCAAACACGAAAGUGGACGUAUACGGUGUGACGCCUGCCCGGUGCCGGAAGGUUAAUUGAUGGGGUUAUCCGUAAGGAGAAGCUCUUGAUCGAAGCCCCGGUAAACGGCGGCCGUAACUAUAACGGUCCUAAGGUAGCGAAAUUCCUUGUCGGGUAAGUUCCGACCUGCACGAAUGGCGUAAUGAUGGCCAGGCUGUCUCCACCCGAGACUCAGUGAAAUUGAACUCGCUGUGAAGAUGCAGUGUACCCGCGGCAAGACGGAAAGACCCCGUGAACCUUUACUAUAGCUUGACACUGAACAUUGAGCCUUGAUGUGUAGGAUAGGUGGGAGGCUUUGAAGCGUGGACGCCAGUCUGCGUGGAGCCAACCUUGAAAUACCACCCUUUAAUGUUUGAUGUUCUAACGUUGGCCCCUGACCGGGGUUGCGGACAGUGUCUGGUGGGUAGUUUGACUGGGGCGGUCUCCUCCCAAAGCGUAACGGAGGAGCACGAAGGUUAGCUAAUCCUGGUCGGACAUCAGGAGGUUAGUGCAAUGGCAUAAGCUAGCUUGACUGCGAGCGUGACGGCGCGAGCAGGUGCGAAAGCAGGUCAUAGUGAUCCGGUGGUUCUGAAUGGAAGGGCCAUCGCUCAACGGAUAAAAGGUACUCCGGGGAUAACAGGCUGAUACCGCCCAAGAGUUCAUAUCGACGGCGGUGUUUGGCACCUCGAUGUCGGCUCAUCACAUCCUGGGGCUGAAGUAGGUCCCAAGGGUAUGGCUGUUCGCCAUUUAAAGUGGUACGCGAGCUGGGUUUAGAACGUCGUGAGACAGUUCGGUCCCUAUCUGCCGUGGGCGCUGGAGAAUUGAGGGGGGCUGCUCCUAGUACGAGAGGACCGGAGUGGACGCAUCACUGGUGUUCGGGUUGUCAUGCCAAUGGCACUGCCCGGUAGCUAAAUGCGGAAGAGAUAAGUGCUGAAAGCAUCUAAGCACGAAACUUGCCCCGAGAUGAGUUCUCCCUGAGACUUUAAGUCUCCUGAAGGAACGUUAAAGACGAUGACGUUGAUAGGCCGGGUGUGUAAGCGCAGCGAUGCGUUGAGCUAACCGGUACUAAUGAACCGUGAGGCUUAACCUU